rnacentral:sRNA from 1 species
ACAUAGCCCCGAUGGUAGCGGCAUCCUUUUUUGAUAGUGCGUUGUAGAAAUUUUUUUUUGAAAACUUAUAAUUAUGGCACUAUCAAAAAAGAUAUAGCGGACAGCGGGUUAGAGA